rnacentral:rRNA from 1 species
CCUACGGGGGGCAGCAGUGGGGAAUAUUGGACAAUGGGGGGAACCCUGAUCCAGCCAUGCCGCGUGUGUGGAGAAGGCCCUCGGGUUGUAAAGCACUUUCAGUGAGGAAGAACGCCUGGUGGUUAAUACCCAUCAGGAAAGACAUCACUCACAGAAGAAGCACCGGCUAACUCCGUGCCAGCAGCCGCGGUAAUACGGAGGGUGCGAGCGUUAAUCGGAAUUACUGGGCGUAAAGCGCGCGUAGGUGGCUUGAUAAGCCGGUUGUGAAAGCCCCGGGCUCAACCUGGGAACGGCAUCCGGAACUGUCAAGCUAGAGUGCAGGAGAGGAAGGUAGAAUUCCCGGUGUAGCGGUGAAAUGCGUAGAGAUCGGGAGGAAUACCAGUGGCGAAGGCGGCCUUCUGGACUGACACUGACACUGAGGUGCGAAAGCGUGGGUAGCAAACAGGAUUAGAUACCCGGGUAGUC